ACUAUGAGAAAACGAUAGUUGUCUACGACAUAUCUAGAAGGUUCAUGCGUGCUAUGCAUUUAGAAAUCUGCAACUAAUUACUGUCAAAGGUUGAUACCGCCGAGGUCAUACUCAUCAUGCUUCGGACGGUUGCAUACACCACAAAUUCCAUAAAGCGAAACCUUUGUGGGACACAAAGCUUUCAGUUCUCCACACUGUGAGUUUCUUCAGCCCAGAUAUGUUCAGAUUACACUGUGUUGACUCCCCAAUAAUAUUUUCUCGGCUCUGUUGCAUUUAAGCUUACCAUGCAAAACUUUCUAGCAAAGAACAGUAAAAUCCCGUAGAUGUUUGCAGAAACGACCUCAAAGCGUGACGGUUAUCUUACGUAAUUUUGCUGCUCCUUUGACAAUGGAGAACCAUGAUUAACUCGUAAAUCACUAAUUCCAGUCCACAACAUAGUUUCAUUC
rnacentral:lncRNA from 1 species